rnacentral:rRNA from 1 species
GACAGAGGGGGCAAGCGUUGCUCGGAAUUACUGGGCGUAAAGGGCGCGUAGGCGGAAUGGCAAGUCGGUCGUGAAAUCCUUCGGCUCAACCGAAGAACGUCGAUCGAAACUGCCGUUCUUGAGGAUUGCAGAGGAGACUGGAAUUCCCGGUGUAGCGGUGAAAUGCGCAGAUAUCAGGAGGAACACCGAUGGCGAAGGCAGGUCUCUGGGCAUUAACUGACGCUGAGGAGCGAAAGCAUGGGGAGCGAACAGG